AGAUUCCUACGGGAGGCAGCAGUGGGGAAUAUUGCACAAUGGGCGCAAGCCUGAUGCAGCGACGCCGCGUGGGGGAUGAAGGCCUUCGGGUUGUAAACUCCUUUCGCUAGGGACGAAGCUUUUUGUGACGGUACCUAGAUAAGAAGCACCGGCUAACUACGUGCCAGCAGCCGCGGUAAUACGUAGGGUGCGAGCGUUGUCCGGAAUUACUGGGCGUAAAGGGCUCGUAGGUGGUUUGUCGCGUCGUCUGUGAAAUUCUGGGGCUUAACUCCGGGCGUGCAGGCGAUACGGGCAUAACUUGAGUGCUGUAGGGGUAACUGGAAUUCCUGGUGUAGCGGUGAAAUGCGCAGAUAUCAGGAGGAACACCGAUGGCGAAGGCAGGUUACUGGGCAGUUACUGACGCUGAGGAGCGAAAGCAUGGGUAGCGAACAGGAUUAGAUACCCUGGUAGUCCAUGCUGUAAACGGUGGGCGCUAGGUGUGAGGGUUUUUCUACGAUUCUCGUGCCGUAGCUAACGCAUUAAGCGCCCCGCCUGGGGAGUACGGCCGCAAGGCUAAAACUCAAAGGAAUUGACGGGGGCCCGCACAAGCGGCGGAGCAUGCGGAUUAAUUCGAUGCAACGCGAAGAACCUUACC
rnacentral:rRNA from 1 species